rnacentral:rRNA from 1 species
UACGUAGGGUGCGAGCGUUGUCCGGAAUUAUUGGGCGUAAAGGGCUCGUAGGCGGUUUGUCGCGUCGGGAGUGAAAUCCACUGGCUUAACUGGUGGCUUGCUUUCGAUACGGGCAGACUGGAGGUAUGCAGGGGGAGAACGGAAUUCCUGGUGUAGCGGUGAAAUGCGCAGAUAUCAGGAGGAACACCGGUGGCGAAGGCGGCUAUCUGGACAGAAACUGACGCUGAGGCGCGAAAAGCUAGGGGAGCAAACAGG